rnacentral:misc_RNA from 1 species
CUGCAUUUCCCUAGUACCAUAUGAAGCUUCAUUUGAGUGGGGCACAUGAUGAGCAUGCUGCUGUGGGUGGUGCAUAUGCUUCACCCCACGUGAGAAUCCUGGCGGACAAGAGGACACAUUAGCACUUGCCAUGGAGUUCUCUCGAUAUUGAAGAGCGGCUAUAGCAUUAUCUCGUUCCAUUAUGGCAUUAUUUCUCUCAGCAAUGGCUGAGUCUCGCUGAAGGAAUGCCAUAUCACGCUCCGCAAUAGCUGCUUUCUUUUCCGAAAUAGCCAUAUUUCUCUCAUGAAUAGCAGCAUCUCUUUCAGCCAUGAUGGCCAUGAUCUGUUUCAUUGAAGGCUGAGCUUGCAUCAACCACUGACCAUGCGCUGUUUUAUGUUGAUCUGCUUUAUGCCUUCCAUUUUCACGAUGCCCACCAUCAUCCAUUGCAGCCCACAGGUGGCAAUAAAUGCAGAUGAAAGUUUAGAACCUCUUGUUCAAGUGCAGUGAUCUGUC